rnacentral:rRNA from 1 species
AUCAUUAACGAGUUAGGGUCCCUCGCGGCCCGACCUCCCAACCCUUUGUCUACCUGACCACUGUUGCUUCGGCGAGCCCGUCUGUAAUGGACCGCCGGGGGGUACCUUGAUCGGCCCUCUGGUCCGCGCUCGUCGAUAGCCAAACUUUUAAAAUCUUAACCAAACGUGUCUCAAUCUAAGUAUUAUUUGUUAAAUAAAAGCAAAACUUUCAACAACGGAUCUCUUGGUUCUGGCAUCGAUGAAGAACGCAGCGAAAUGCGAUAAGUAAUGCGAAUUGCAGAAUUUCAGUGAGUCAUCGAAUCUUUGAACGCACAUUGCGCCCUUUGGUAUUCCGAAGGGCAUGCCUGUUCGAGCGUCAUUAUCACCCCUCAAGCCCCCGGCUUGGUGUUGGACGGUUUGGUGGAGGCCCCCUCGCGGGGCCACCGCCCCUCCCAAAGACAAUGACGGCGGCCUCGUUGGACCCCCGGUACACUGAGUUCUUCACGGGACACGUAUCGGACACAUGGGUUUACGGGACACGGUCUGCCUCCCCUCAGGGAGAAUCUUUCUAAGGUUGACC